AUUUAAAUGAUGAUAACUUCAACUGAAUUUUUAAACUGGUUCUAUUUUUGAAACAGUUAAAAAUAUUUUUGAUGUUCGCAUUUUGCGAGGCAUUUGUCUGAUUUUUUA